AGCGAACGCUGGCGGCAGGCCUAACACAUGCAAGUCGAACGAACUCUUCGGAGUUAGUGGCGGACGGGUGAGUAACACGUGGGAACGUGCCUUUAGGUUCGGAAUAACUCAGGGAAACUUGUGCUAAUACCGAAUGUGCCCUUCGGGUGAAAGAUUUAUCGCCUUUAGAGCGGCCCGCGUCUGAUUAGCUAGUUGGUGAGGUAAAGGCUCACCAAGGCGACGAUCAGUAGCUGGUCUGAGAGGAUGAUCAGCCACAUUGGGACUGAGACACGGCCCAAACUCCUACGGGAGGCAGCAGUGGGGAAUCUUGCGCAAUGGGCGAAAGCCUGACGCAGCCAUGCCGCGUGAAUGAUGAAGGUCUUAGGAUUGUAAAAUUCUUUCACCGGGGACGAUAAUGACGGUACCCGGAGAAGAAGCCCCGGCUAACUUCGUG
rnacentral:rRNA from 1 species